UUGGAUGUUUCACGAGGAUAAGCAUGAUCCUCGCACUAUUAAGAGAUUUGUGGCUGAUUUCAGAGCACAGAUGGGUUUGUGCAGAUAAAGGCACAUUGAGGAAGAUCUCUGCCAGAUCCAUGCAUCGGAUCAAGAGAGCAGCUGCUAAAAUACCAUUACAUAGCAGCAAGCAGAUAUUUGAAGCUGCUGUUGCCUCUGGAGUCCCACAGACAUCAAGGUGUAGAGUCCUCCAGAGUCUUGCAACUGUGCAUAAACCUUCUAUUCGGCCACCACUAACCAAUGCUCACAAGCAGCUGGUGUAAAGAUGACCUCUGCAAAGUAUGUGGAGUUUCUGACUGACCACUUUCUUCCCUGGUACAGAAGAAAGAACAAUGCUUUCCGUAAUAAAAUCAUCUUCAUGCAUGACAAUGCACCAUCUCAUGCUGCAAAGAAUACCUUUGCAUCAAUGGCUGCUAUGGGGAUAAAAGGAGAGAAAGUCAUGGUCCUCCCCUGACCUCAAUUCUAUUGAGAACCUUUGGAGCAUCCUCAAGCAAAAGAUCUGUGAGGGUGGGAGGCAGUUUACAUCCAAACAGCAGCUCUGGGAGGCUAUUCUGACAUCUUGCAAACAAAUUCAAGCAGAAACUGUCCAAAAACUCACAAGUUUAAUGGAUGCAAGACUUGUGAAUCUGCUAUCAAAUAAGGGGUCCUGUGUUAAAACGUAACGUGACCUGUUAAAAUGUUUAAAAAGUUAAAAUGUUGUUAUAAGUUUGAUUGAAAUAGCUUUUGAUUUCAGUAAAUAUGCUGCAAACACAACAAAUGACAAUUUUAAUUUCUUUACA